GUUAGGAAUAUUGGACAAUGGGCGCAAGCCUGAUCCAGCCAUGCCGCGUGCAGGAAGACGCAUCUAUGGUGUGUAAACUGCUUUUGUACGGGAAGAAACACUCCCUCGUGAGGGAGCUUGACGGUACCGUAAGAAUAAGGAUCGGCUAACUCCGUGCCAGCAGCCGCGGUAAUACGGAGGAUCCAAGCGUUAUCCGGAAUCAUUGGGUUUAAAGGGUCCGUAGGCGGUUUAAUAAGUCAGUGGUGAAAGCCCAUCGCUCAACGAUGGAACGGCCAUUGAUACUGUUAGACUUGAAUUACAAGGAAGUAACUAGAAUAUGUAGUGUAGCGGUGAAAUGCUUAGAUAUUACAUGGAAUACCAAUUGCGAAGGCAGGUUACUACUUGUGGAUUGACGCUGAUGGACGAAAGCGUGGGGAGCGAACAGGAUUAGAUACCCGGGUAGUCC
rnacentral:rRNA from 1 species